UAGCUGUGAUGAUUGCUUAGGACACCUUUGGAUUAACCAUGAAAAGAACUUUGAUUAAAUCUGAGCUAC
rnacentral:snoRNA from 1 species